AUUGAACGCUGGCGGUAUGCUUAACACAUGCAAGUCGAACGGUAGCAGCUCUAGCUUGCUAGAGGCUGACGAGUGGCGGACGGGUGAGUAACGCGUAGGAAUCUGCCCAUCAGUAGAGGACAACUCGGGGAAACUCGAGCUAAUACUGUAUAUUACUCUACGGAGGAAAGUAAGGGACCUUAUGGCCUUACGCUGAUGGAUGAGCCUGCGUCGGAUUAGCUAGUUGGUGGGGUAAAGGCCUACCAAGGCGACGAUCCGUAGCUGUUCUGAGAGGAAGAUCAGCCACACUGGGACUGAGACACGGCCCAGACUCCUACGGGAGGCAGCAGUGGGGAAUAUUGGACAAUGGGGCAACCCUGAUCCAGCAAUACCGCGUGUGUGAAGAAGGCCUGCGGGUUGUAAAGCACUUUCGUUAGGGAGGAAGGCUUAUACGUUAAUAGCGUAUAGGAUUGACGUUACCUAAAGAAGAAGCACCGGCUAACUCUGUG
rnacentral:rRNA from 1 species